UAUCCCCUCACUAAAUCCCUAUGCCAAAAUCAAGUUAAGUUUAUCUGUUACCAAAACCAUCUUAUCCAGCUCUACUCUCUUGAUCUAGUCUAGUAGUGUUUCCCGGCAAGAAUUCAAAAACCCUAAAUCCUAAACUCAAAGUCCGCGCAUUGACAAAGUCCAGAUGUCGUGCUUCCUGUCGGCGACCGCCGUGGCAAUGGCAGCUUUUGUGUUCGUCGAUUGUCUCGGCGGGGCUCGAGCUUCAGAAAUCCUCAGUUCUGUUCUUCGAUUGCCUCAGCUGGGGCUCCACUUAUUUUGUUUGCUUGGAGCAGAUUCAUGUUAUGGAAUCUUGAUUCAUGUUAUGCAAUCUUGAGUGGAAGUGUGCUAUUCAACUCGAAAAAUAAAAUAUCCUUUUUGACAUGUUUGUGGUCAAUACUAAAUUACUAUUUGGAGGGAGUUCUUGACUAAAGAAGUACUUGCUUGAGCAUUCGUAUUGUUCUUUUUCAGGUUUCUUUCCAGAGGUUUUCCGUGGCAUAUGGAAUGGCACAGAUGUUGCAAUCAAGGUUUUUCUAGAACAAGAUUUAACUCCUGAAAAUAUGGAAGAUUUUUGCAAUGAGAUAUCUAUUUUCGGAGUUACAUUGUUUCUUGGUGCGUGCAUGAAGCCUCCACGGUUGUCAAUGGUUACAGAAUAUAUGGAAUUGGGAUCGUUGUAUUACUUGAUACAUUUAAGUGGUCAAAAGAAAUAGCUUAAUUGGCGGGGAAGAUUGAGGAUUUUAUGUGACAUAUGCAAGAUAUGUAUGGUUGAAAUACUACUUUGAAGGCCAAAGGUGGUCUCUCUGUAGUAGUUCCUGGAGGAACUUGGUGGCCUUCACUGUGUCUAUGUUCCAAAAUGUAUGGUCACAUCUCAGUCGCUGAUGUGUGUCACAGAGAAAAUUUACAGAGCAGGAUGAGUUUGUGGUUGUGGCUUCUGAUGGGUUAUAUAGGAAGUGAGCUUACAACGGUCAAGAAUCAAAUGCAGAGUUUUUUGCCUAUAUUACUUCUAGAGAAGAGAAUCCGGAACAUCUUGCUGAUAUGUCUAUUGCUUUGGUACACCUUAUACUAAUCAGCACCAAAUGUUAGGAGUGACUUGUCAUCUCCAAACGAUGUAUUUGGAUCAAAUGGUGGAAGCAGGAUAUGUUAGUAAGAAUUUUCGCCAACCUAAUU